rnacentral:tRNA from 1 species
GGAGAUAUAGCUCAGUGGUAGAGCACUUGGCUAGCAUGGUCAAGGGCUGGGUACAUUUCCCAGUACUGCCA